rnacentral:rRNA from 1 species
AACGAACGCUGGCGGCAUGCCUAACACAUGCAAGUCGAACGAGACCUUCGGGGCUAGUGGCGCACGGGUGCGUAACGCGGGGGAACCUGCCCUUAGGUUCGGAAUAACUCCCCGAAAGGGGUGCUAAUACCGGAGAAUGUCUUCGGACCAAAGGCUUAUCGCCUUUGGAUGGGCCCGCGUGGGAUUAGCUAGUUGGUAGGGUAAAAGCCUACCAAGGCGGCGCUCCCUAGCUGGUCUGAGAGGCUGAUCAGCCACACUGGGACUGAGACACGGCCCAGACUCCUACGGGAGGCAGCAGUGGGGAAUAUUGGACAGUGGGCGAAAGCCUGAUCCAGCUAUGCCGCGUGAGUGAUGAAGGCCUUAGGGUUGUAAAGCUCUUUUACCCGGGAUGAUAAUGACAGUACCGGGAGAAUAAGCUCCGGCUAACUCCGCG